rnacentral:rRNA from 2 species
GGGUUGUGAGGUUAAGCGACUAAGCGUACACGGUGGAUGCCCUGGCAGUCAGAGGCGAUGAAGGACGUGCUAAUCUGCGAUAAGCGCCGGUAAGGUGAUAUGAACCGUUAUAACCGGCGAUACCCGAAUGGGGAAACCCAGUGUGACUCGUCACACUAUCAUUAAC